rnacentral:sRNA from 1 species
UCAGUGCGCAUGUGCGGCCAUUCAGGGUCCGCAGCUCAUUCACUACGGGGCACUGGUGGGCUACUGCGCAGGAACAACCAAGCACGCAGAAUCGUUUAGAAAAAAAAAAAAAAACACACCCUCCCCUGGAGUGCGCAGGCCCAGCUGCACGCGGGCUGACAAACAUCGAGUCUAGAACUCUCCCACCCGGCCCCGGGCCCAGUGCGCAUGCGCAGCCGCGCGCCUUCGCCCGACCGUACCUCUUCUGCGCCUGCGCGACCGUGAUUCCCCGCUCGCCGCUCCCCACCCCCCAGGGCUCCCUAAAGAGGGCCACGAGCUGCGAAAGGGCGGGAAAGGCGGUUGGAGAAGGAGAGGUAAGCGGUUACUCACUCCAUGGCUGCAGCAAGGAGAGGCGGCGGCGGCCUCGGCUGAAGAAAGACGAAACCCACCUUGUCCCAUCCACAUCAGGACAUCCCAGCUGGAGUUCAACUUUCAUCCCUUCUGUGGCAGUUAGGAGACUGAAUCAAGGUCCAGAGAAGGUGGAGGGAUCCUGGUAUUGAGCGAAAUCUUCCCAAGGUUGCAGACGCCG